ACGGAGGGUGCAAGCAUUAAUCGGAGUUAUUGGGCGUACAGGGCGCGUAGGCGGGGUUAUAAGUUAGACGUGAAAUCCCGGGGCUCAACCCCGGAACCGCGUAUAAUACUGUGACUCUUGAGGAUAGACGGAGAAAGCGGAAUUCCACAAGUAGCGGUGAAAUGCGUAGAUAUGUGGAAGAACACCUGUGGCGAAGGCGGCUUUCUGGACUGUAACUGACACUGAGGCAUGAAAGCGUGGGGAGCAAACA
rnacentral:rRNA from 1 species